GGCCCAAAUUUGAAGUAGAGUAGAUUUCUAAGAGCAGUUGACCGUACUAAUCUACUCUACUUCGAAUUCGCGCCC
rfam:Haemonchus placei strain MHpl1 genome assembly, scaffold: HPLM_scaffold0000457